CCUACGGGCGGCUGCAGUGAGGAAUAUUGGUCAAUGGGCGGGAGCCUGAACCAACCAAGCCGCGUGAAGGAAGAAGGCGCCAGGCGUCGUAAACUUCUUUUGUCGGGGAACAAAGGUCGCCACGCGUGGCGUUGUGAGUGUACCCGAAGAAAAAGCAUCGGCUAACUCCGUGCCAGCAGCCCCGCUAAUACGGGGGAUGCGACCGUUACCCGGAUUUAUUGGGUUUAACGGGUGCGUAGGCGGUCCGGAAAGUCAGCGGUAAAAGCCCGGGGCUCAACCCCGGCCAGGCGUUGAAACUGUCGAACUAGAGACGGCGAGAGGUACGCGGAAUGCGCGGUGUAGCGGUGAAAUGCAUAGAUAUCGCGCAGAACUCCGAUUGCGAAGGCAGCGUACCGGCGCCGGACUGACGCUGAGGCACGAAAGCGUGGGUAUCGAACAGGAUUAGAUACCCGAGUAGUC
rnacentral:rRNA from 1 species